CGCAUCUGUGCAUGCAGCAUAUCAAUAAGCGGAGGAAAAGAAACUAACAAGGAUUCCCCUAGUAACGGCGAGUGAAGCGGGAAGAGCUCAAAUUUGAAAUCUUAAAGGGUUUCCCUUUACGAAUUGUAGUUUAACGAAGUGUUUUCUGUUGAGGUUUUGGUAAAAGUUCUUUGGAAUAGGACAUCAUAGAGGGUGAGAAUCCCGUAUUUGACCUUUACUUUCAACUUUGUGAUACACUUUCAAAGAGUCGGAUUGUUUGGGAAUGCAGUCCAAAAUGGGUGGUAAAUUUCAUCUAAAGCUAAAUAUUGGCGAGAGACCGAUAGCGAACAAGUACCGUGAGGGAAAGAUGAAAAGAACUUUGAAAAGAGAGUUAAACAGUACGUGAAAUUGUCAAAAGGGAAGCGUUUGACACCAGUGUUGUUUUUCUGAAAAUCAAUUAAAGAACUGUUUAUGCUAAGCUGUUUAGACUUUAUCAGCUAUCUGCUUAGUUUUGAGCUUUUCUUUAAUGCACUUUUCAGUUAACAAGUCAACAUCAAUUUCUUUUGCUGUAAAAAAGCUUGAGGAAGGUGGCUUGAGAUUCGUCUUAAGUGUUUAUAGCCUCUUGCCUAUGCAGUCGGAGAGAUUGAGGUCUGCAGCGUAGAUCCUUCGGGGCUAAAUGCAUUUGUGCUAAGUUAUAGCAUUUUAUAGACAACUUGUUGACUAUGAUUUGUCUUGUAGCUUACUCGCUUAUGUUAUUUUACCUACGCUUAGGAUGUUGAAUCUGUGCGAGACUAC
rnacentral:rRNA from 1 species